rnacentral:rRNA from 1 species
UACGAAGGGUGCAAGCGUUACUCGGAAUUACUGGGCGUAAAGCGUGCGUAGGUGGUUUGUUAAGUCUGAUGUGAAAGCCCUGGGCUCAACCUGGGAAUUGCAUUGGAUACUGGCAGGCUAGAGUGCGGUAGAGGAUGGCGGAAUUCCCGGUGUAGCAGUGAAAUGCGUAGAGAUCGGGAGGAACAUCUGUGGCGAAGGCGGCCAUCUGGACCAGCACUGACACUGAGGCACGAAAGCGUGGGGAACAAACAGG